rnacentral:lncRNA from 1 species
AGUUUCCGUUUAGGUAAAAUGGAUAGAAUAAUAGUACUUACCUCAAAGGAUUGUUGAAGAGAAUCAACAAGAUGAUAUCCCUGAAGCACUGGGAAUAGUGUCUGGCACACAGCACUCUCCCAGGAGCACACCGCGGCGCUAGAGAAGACCAGGAAAAAGGACCUGAGCCAGCUUGCCGUCUUAACAAAAAUUUCAAACUUUGCAAAGCGGUAUACCUUCUUAUUCUCCAGUUCAGUAUUGCCAGUGAAGUCAUACUGAACGCAGACAAGGAAAAGAAAGAAAAAGGUAGAAACUCAAUGAGAUAUGUUGUCAUCUUCCCUGUUUUAUGGAUGAAGUUCUAAGUAGAGGUUCGGAGAAGACCCAACUGUUCCCAUGUCAGACCCC